GGAACUGCCCGAUGGAGGGGGAUAACUACUGGAAACGGUAGCUAAUACCGCAUAACGUCGCAAGACCAAAGAGGGGGACCUUGGGCCUCUUGCCAUCGGAUGUGCCCAGAUGGGAUUAGCUAGUAGGUGGGGUAACGGCUCACCUAGGCGACGAUCCCUAGCUGGUCUGAGAGGAUGACCAGCCACACUGGAACUGAGACACGGUCCAG
rnacentral:rRNA from 1 species